rnacentral:lncRNA from 1 species
AAAAGAACACCCUGGCUGAAAACACAUCUGAGACUGAAAAAUAUUCCUCCUUAAAAAAUGGAGCGUGUUUGAGGCGCCGGUGUUCUGGAGAGGACUGGUGGGCAGAAGAUCAGGUUCCAGUUCAGUUUCUGGAGCAGAUAAGAUUCCAUGAGCUGCAUGAAUCUUGGAGAUUCAGAAGAUGGUCUCAGCCGGCAAGAUUGGUCAUGGCCAUUGGCUUUUUCUGAAGCAGCAGUCCAGCGUCAGUCAUCAGCAAAAUGGUGACAAGAGACAGCUUCACUGGCUUUGUGAUCCCUGGAUCUCAUCUAAAUUGACGUUCUUAAAGUCAGCAGUUUCAGUGAUGGCUCCCUGAUUCUCCACCUUCCUGACUGUGGUAGGAGAGCAGUUCCCCUGCUGGGCUCAUUCUGUCGUGUUGUUCUCGAUGCUAUUUCUGGAAGCCUAACUCAGAGCUUUCCAGUCCUUCCAGGAUUGUGCGAACUCCUUGUUUCCU